rnacentral:lncRNA from 10 species
AGUUGUGAAUGCUGAAGCCCGCGUUGGAGGGAGCUUGCCCCUCCAGUUCAUGUCCUGGCUGCCCCUGGAAUUCGGCACUGGAGAGGUUGGGUGGGAUGUGCAGAACAAACAGGACUUCCUGCUUGAGCAAGUCCGGACAUCAGAGCUGGAGAUGGGGACUGAGACCACAAUCAGCUGUGCACCCUGUGGUCAGGGAAGAAACUCACUGGAGUCUCAUUUGACUGAGAAAGCUUCUUUCAAAGGAAAUGCAACUGUCUUAAGACUGCCUCCCCAGGGAUCUCAUUAAACAGCUGGGAAAGAUCAACCUCCAGAGAAGAGAAGAGACUGGAGGCAGCCACCAAGCCCAGACUUUCCCCCUGUUCUUCUGAGGGCAGCUCCCGGAGGUUACCUGGGAGACUUCGUCUGCAGCCAAGACAACCUUCACUCCCACAUACCCUCCCUGGAGCAUGGGACUGAGCAACCCCACUCCUCCUUUCUGUGAGGAGGGCAUUCGGGCCUCAGCCAUCUGGACCCUCUGAGUUCACAUUUCCCAAGACCUCCAUGAACACAUGUGAGUGUAAUAAAUGUUCUCUGCUUCUCUCUUGUUAACAUGUGUUUCUGCUGUAGGGGUGUCAGCUGUGGCCCUUUUUCAUGGGGAACAAAGGGAUCAUCCUGAGCUUCCUGAUGUGUACAGAAAGCACAGAGUUCAAGGGGGAAGAUUCAGAGGAUCACAGGUGAAUCCGGUCAUCUGGAAACUCCUGUGAGCAUCUCCAACAGCAGAGACACACGUAGACUCCUGCAAACCCAGCUCAGCUGCCAUCCUCCCUUGGCAGCCAAAGGUCUCAGAAAGGCACGUUUCCAAAACUUGGUU